ensembl:lncRNA
GUGUCCGACUCUUUGUGACCCCAUGGACUAUAGCCUGUCAGGCUCCUCUGUCCGUGAAAUUCUCCAGGCAAGAGUACUGGAGUGGAUUGCCAUUCCCUUCUCCAAUGAGAUAUAUAGAACUCUACAAAUUAACAUUAUGGAAUAAUUACCCAAUUCUUAUAUUUCCACAGCAAUUAUGAAAUGACUCUAGAGUUUCAACAUGAAGUUUAAAGUUGGCCCUUUGCUUUAGUGAAUCAGGUAUGCAAAAAAAAAAAAGAAGAUGCUUUCUUUGCUUCAAAUUCCAUGGAACAAAAGAUAUAAACACACAGUUUUGCAGAAAGUUCCCCUGCUGCUGCUGCUGCUGCUGCUAAGUCGCUUCAGUCGUGUCCAACUCUGUGCGACCCCACAGAUGGCAGCCCACCAGGUUCUCCCGUCCCUGGGAUUCUCCAGGCAAGAACACUGAAGUGGGUUGACAUUUCCUCCUCCAAAGCAUGAAAGUGAAAAGUGAAAGUGAAGUCGCUCAGUCGUGUCUGACUCUUAGCGAUCCCAUGGACUACAGCCUACCAGGCUCCUCCGUCCAUGGGAUUUUCCAGGCAAGAAUACCGGAGUGGGGUGCCAUUGCCUUCUCCGUCUAGUUCCCCUACCUUAGCUGAAAUCUGUGCCUCCCAGUUGCCAAGAAAAUCUGCAUGCCAAUAUGACACAUUCUGAAGAGACUUAUUCUGAAUUCCAUCAAUACAUACAUAUUUCCACCAGAAGGAUUACUGAGAGAAUCUUUCAUCUUUUAUUCCUUUUAUCUUUAAAAAUAAUACAUGUUUGGAAAAUAGGAACAAUAUUUGUGAGAGAAAUUACUUUUUCAUUGUGGAGUAAGAACAGUGAUAUUUUAAAAUGAAAACAUUGUGGGGUGAAAAGAGAUGUUAAGGUUAUGGCAGUUUAUUCCUAUACAGUCUACUGUUUUUCAGUGCUAUCUUUUCUCCUGAAAUUUUAUUUAAAGCAAAAUGGCAGAAACUUGCUCUUUAAAAAAAUUCUAUUUGCUUAGUGUCAGUUAAGGAAAAAAAAUCUCAUAUGUGAGAAUAGUAGAGAGGAUAUCAAUAGAUAUUUCACUUUCCAUAUGGAGAACAUAACCCAGUGGAUUAGGUCUAGCUGUGACCACAGGAGUUUUCUAGCUGGAAGCAGAUGGUUAGUUAUAACUAGUACAUACAUAAAACAGCUACCUCCCUUAAAACCUCAGCAGUAAUCUCAUUUUAUUUUCAGACUAGUUUUUCAAAAAGAGUAUCUAAAAUGUGGAGCGAUACAUAUAAAUUAUAAAACUGAAAAAAAUUGCUUUCUUUUUAUCUGGGAGAGAAGAGGUCAUGUGUUACACUAUAGCUGUCUUUUGGUGAGAAUAUCACAGCUUAAUUUGAUUUGGUGCUUUUGAACUGUGGUGUUGGAGAAGACUCUUGAGAGUCCCUUGGACUGCAAGGAGAUCCAAUUAGUCCAUCCUAAAGG